GUUUCUUGGAAUCUCUGCUUAGCCCUUGGGACAGACCCUGUGGUGAAGGCUACAGGAUCUUCCAUAUCCAGCAUCAGCAGCUGUGGUUAAGUCCACAGGUGCCCACCUGACCUCAGGUUCCUGGGAAGAGCAGAGUUGUCAGCAAGAGAACCUGCGGGUAAAGCCCAGCAGAAAGAUGCCAGGCAAUCGGAGUGCUGCUGGGCCGUCUCCGACCCUGAGUACAGGGGGAUGUGACAAUUCCUGUGAGGUGUCAGUGUCCUUUGAGGACGUGACCGUGGACUUCAGAAGAGAGGAGUGGCAGCACCUGGACUCUGCUCAGAGGUUCCUGUACCAGGACAUGACGCUGAAAACUACAGCCACCUCCUCUCACUGGGUAUGCACAGCUACCCUGUGACUCUAUGAGUGUUGUAGCCACGCGUUCUGGGAAACAAACUCACUCAGAAGGACAACGCAGAUAGUGGAGUGCAGUUUAUUACACCGGCAGGCCCAAGGCAGAGUCUCCUCUUAGCCAAGGACACUGACCAGUUUUUCUGAAAACCUUAUAUACCCUAAGUGUACACGCCUCCUUCAAAAGCGAAUAAAACACAAAUUUCCCAUGAACAUGAGCAACAAAGUAGAACAAACUUCAAAUCCUGGACAAAAUGAUUAUUUUCCCCCCUUUCAAUCACACUGUUUGUUUAUUUAUUAUUGGAGUAUAGUUGGUUUGCACUGCUGUGUUAGUUUCUGCUCUACAGCAAACUGAGUCAGGUAUACACUACUAUGUAUAAAAUAGAUAGCAAAUAAAAAGUAUAAUUUUUAAAAACGAACGACUGUUACGUACAAUGGGUGGCAGAAAUUUAUGACUAGAUAUUUUCAUUCUAUACCUUACGUGUAAGUAGGCCUCUGAAAGGCAUAGCCUAUGGGUAUUAUGGUAAAAAUCACUAAAAACAAUUUCCUAUCUUUCCUUAUCCCCCUGUGCUGACCUGGUCACCCCAAAUGGGGCUGUGUUUACAGGUGUCAGUGUCCUUUGAGGACGUGACCGUGGACUUCAGAAGAGAGGAGUGGCAGCACCUGGACUCUGCUCAGAGGUUCCUGUACCAGGACAUGACGCUGAAAACUACAGCCACCUCCUCUCACUGGAGGUCAUUCAAGGACGUCCCUGUGGACUUGAGCAGAGAGGAGUGGCCGCACGUGGACCCUGUACAGAGGUGCCUGUACCAGGAUGUGACACUGGAGACCUACAGCCAACUGUGCGUAGUGGGUGAGUAAGCACAGCUGCCCUGUGCCCCUGCCAGGGGCCUCAGAGACGCUGCUUCCAUUCUCAGCUGCUGAGUGCUCUGGGGCAUCUGAAGUGUGUAAUGGUGUCAUCUUUGAUUUGCCCGAGAUACUUCAGUCCUUUUACACUUCUGUGAUUAUUACUCUAUUCCCAGGAAAUGGAAUUACUUUCCUGAAGAGCAAAUAGAGCGUGGUUGAAAGGCCCUGAAACCCAAUUAACUGG
ensembl:lncRNA